AUGUGUGUCCUCCGCAAGCUCCGCCAUUCCAAAAUCCCUUUGGGGAUUUCUUAUGAAUUGGGGCUCUCAGAUGAUAAGGCAGUUUUUCUUGUGGUGAGUCUUUUUAAAAUUCUGGCAAUGCUUUACUCGUUUGAUUGUUUUAUCUUGAAUGCAUCUUCUGUAGAUGAUGCUAAAAAUGAGAUUAUGCUAGCUUGGGGGGACACUGGAGGCAGUAUUUUGUACGUAGUUUCUGACAAGAAGAAGGAAUUCUUUCCUAAACUAAGCAAUUGCGGUUAGCCGAUCGUUGUUCUCAGAUCUCUUGGGCAAGAAUCAGCAGAUGUUACUGAAGGUGGCAGUGCAUGUGAGAACUCAAGCAUGAUUUUUAUCAACAAGCUAGUAGAGUUGCCUUCAACCAUAUGCUACAUAAAUAGAAAGGCAACUGGUAACAAUGUCGUGACUGUUGGAUAUGUUAUGAAACCUUCUUGUGAAGAAGAUUUUGCUAAGAGGGGUGCAUUUCCUUUGUUUCCUACUCAAAAUGGGUUGAUAUUCAUGCCCCCCUCACCUUUGAGCUUCCUUUAUCACCUCAAUUGCAAGAGGUUGACAUAGUUCUCCAUAAAGCAACUGAUGAAAUUAUAUCCAUUGAAGAGUCGUGCAAACUUCUCUAACAGAAUAGUUUACACCAGCGGCAUGCAGGACUUACGAAGAUAUUUGGAGGAUCACCUGGAUUGCUGUGUGAUUGAUUCAUUUAACAACAUCUCCCCUGUGCUAGAUCAGCUAUAUGCAAAGAUAAAUCUCAAUUAUUUAAUCCUUGGGUGAUUUGAAUGUUUGAAGUAAUUCUGAUCAUGUUUAACAACAUUCGACUUAAGGUUGAUAGUUUCAAAGUAGCUGAUUAGUUGCAAAGGCUGUCUGAAGCUAAAUUAUCUCUUCCAAGUAUAGUGAAGCCUCAAGUUGCAUGUGGUGUAGCUAAUGCUCACAAGAUGCUUAAAAUCUCUUCCCACUGCCAAAGAAGACCAGAAUUAUGGCGAUGGUAAUUGUUCCAAGGCCACUAAUAGUUGUGUUGAUCUUGAUCUGGUUACAGACGCAGCAAAUUGGCUUAGGGGAGUGCUUGAUCUUACCAUCUUUGGCUUCGAUGUUGUUAUUCAGGAAGGCACUUGUGAUCAUGUCAUUGUGGAUGUAAAUUAUCUCCCGCCUUUUAAGGAAGUUCCUAAUGAUAUUGCAAUACCUGCCUUUUGGGAGGCUAUUAAGAAGAAAUUUGAAUUGAAAAGGUCAAAAUAAGCAACAAAAGCUCCUCUUUGACAAGAUGAUCAGUGAAGACGGGGUUGAUCAACGCAUCUGUGUUAAAGAGACCAACCAUGGUCUGUUCAUUUUGGAAGUGAGAUAUAAGAUGCAUAUUCCUAUGAUUAUAUGUCAUAGCGCUUUGGGAGGAAAUCUGAGCUACAAAAAUAUCAUGUAACCCUUCUCUUAGCACAAGUCCUUUCACUGCACUUCAUGUCUAGAAUCUUGUGUUAUUAUCAACGGUCCACAAUUGGUUUGCAAUUUGAACUUGCCAUGCAUGAUCCUUUUUUCUUUCUUUCCUUUUUUUCCCUGUAAUAUUCCUUUUGGAUAUGAAGUACCUUUUUUUUUUGUUUGUUUGGGGGAGGGAACAUAUAUUUAGCUUUCUUCACUUUACCCCCCUUAUGCGAUGUUCAUAACUAUGAUUUUAUUAAUGGAACAUAUUGUGUAAAGAUUGGACUUUUUUAAUGUAGUUGAUCAUGAUUUUUAA